rnacentral:rRNA from 1 species
GGGGAAUUAGGGUNCNAUUCCGGAGAGGGAGCCUGAGAAACGGCUACCACUUCCAAGGAAGGCAGCAGGCGCGCAAAUUACCCAAUCCCGACACGGGGAGGUAGUGACAAUAAAUAACAAUACGGGGCUCUUUCGGGUCUCGUAAUUGGAAUGAGUACAAUUUAAAUCCCUUAACGAGGAACAAUUGGAGGGCAAGUCUGGUGCCAGCAGCCGCGGUAAUUCCAGCUCCAAUAGCGUAUAUUAAAGUUGUUGCAGUUAAAAAGCUCGUAGUUGAAUUUCGGGAUUGACGUGAUGGUCGUGCCUUAAGGGGUAUGAACUGUCGCAGUUGAUUUCUCACCUUCUGGAGAGGCAUGAUGUCCUUAAUUGGGUGUCAUGUGGAACCAGGACCUUUACCUUGAAAAAAUUAGAGUGUUUAAAGCAGGCAUUUUGCUCGAAUACAUUAGCAUGGAAUAAUAGAAUAGGACGGCAUGGUUCUAUUUUGUUGGUUUCUAGGAUCACCGUAAUGAUUAAUAGGGAUAGUUGGGGGCAUUAGUAUUCAAUUGUCAGAGGUGAAAUUCUUGGAUUUAUUGAAGACUAACUACUGCGAAAGCAUUUGCCAAGGAUGUUUUCAUUAAUCAAGAACGAAAGUUAGGGGAUCGAAGAUGAUCAGAUACCGUCGUAG